GGUGAAAACAGUGGCAGUGAUGUAGGUGAAAACAGUGGUAGUGAUGUAGGUGAAAACAGUGGUAGUGAUGUAGGUGAAAACAGUGGUAGUGAUGUAGGUGAAAACAGUGGUAGUGAUGUAGGUGAAAACAGUGGCAGUGAUGUAGGUGAAAACAGUGGUAGUGAUGUAGGUGAAAACAGUGGUAGUGAUGUAGGUGAAAACAGUGGUAGUGAUGUAGGUGAAAACAGUGGUAGUGAUGUAGGUGAAAACAGUGGCAGUGAUGUAGGUGAAAACAGUGGUAGUGAUGUAGGUGAAAACAGUGGUAGUGAUGUAGGUGAAAA